rnacentral:lncRNA from 1 species
ACAACAAUGUUGUCUUGCAAAUAAAUAAGCAAACAACUUAUUUAGGCUUAGUUUGGUAUUGAAGCCUAUCAAACGCUAUUAAAUAAAAUAGAGUUGAGGAAAAAAUAUAUAGGAAUAUACUUCUACGUUCUCCGAUAGAACCACAAAAAAUAUAUCGUAACCGACUCAUCGCGAUAUGCGGAACGCAAUAUUACAUACGAAAACAAACAUGAUAUUUUGCCAACAUAUUUUCUUACCGCACGUAACGCUAUCUUCCCACAAUUCCAAACGAAGCCUUAGACUAGUUUGAUUAUAUUAUAUGAUUAACGAACUUUAUUAAAUUUUCUGUUGUUACUGGGUAAUUUUUGGCUUUGGGCGUAAGAACUAGGUUUCUUUACUUGAUUCAGUCUAGUAAGAUGGUUUAUUUCGCCUAAUGUUUUUUAAAAUAUUUUUUUCAAAAAUCCUUUUUUGUAACUACUUAUAAGAGUUUGUGGAGUAUCUUAGUAAGCUGGGAUCUUAGCUGAUGUUCAGGAUAGAGAAAAUCACGUAGCCACUUUGACUUGCACCUCAUUUUUCUUCCGUAAGCCGUAGCUUUUUGCUACUGACUUGCUAUACUUCUAACAUAGGCCAUUUCUAUUGCAAGUCGCAAAGAGUUUAAUAGUUGAUAUAUAUUUACAGUUCAAAGUUUAAAGUCUAGUUAUUUUUUAUUUUUCGCCGAAAUUAUGUCUACAAAAAAAAAUAAAUGAGGCAGCAACAUACUGCUAUUCUCUCUCUAGCCCCACCCAAAAAAAUCCACAGCGAGUUAAUCGGCCGGGCCUUAAUGGGCCAGAUCAGAAGCCUAAACCCAAUGAACACUGGAUCAACUUUUUUUCAUAUAACUGACCGUUCCUAGAGCAAGUGGCAAAGAACUUGGUGGUUAAUAUCCGAAAUCUAAGUUCGAAUCCUAAUUGAUUCACAUUUCCUGCUAAGUUUAUUUAAUUUUAGAAAUAAACAAAUCGGGUAGCGUGCUACCUAUCUCUCAAUUUUUAUUUUAUUUUAUUUUUUUUUAUAUGGUGGUCGUUUUGAAUUGAGCGGAACCACAUGAUCUUCCGAAACAAGGUUAAUUCACAAUUUGGCUUACUUGCUUUGAAGUAUCAAUCAACUUUUAAACUCUUGGGAGGUGCUUUGUUGAGUUUCAAACUGUUUUUCCUUCUGAACUUUCACAAAUUUUGAUUGUCUCCAUCAUUAUGACUAAGUUCAUUUCCUCACAAUAAAUAAAACAGGUAGUUUGCUAUCUUUUUCUUAAAAAAACUCUACACCGUAAAAUUAAGCAGGUGGAGGGAUUCUGUAUGUAGUUGCCGCUUAUUCGUAUUUGCUAUUACCUCUGCCUCGUUGUAGUUGCAUGGUACGUGGUUUAUUUUUUCAGUACUUCGUAUCUAGUUAUAAAAGUGAUUCGUUUAUACUUAGUUAUCUAGCGUACGUAAUUCAUUGAGAUUAAAUUGAACAUUUCAAAUCAUCUUUACGUGCGUGUAAAACAAACUCCAACUAAGCAACCAAUAAUAAAAAAAAAAAGAGACAAAAUUUAGGACUCAUCACCACCAUCACAACUUAGACUUUUUAUCUCAAUAAAAUGUACAACCAUGCAUUAGACUCAAACACAAACCUUUAAAAAGUCCAUGCAUGCCAUAUCCUACGCUCAAACAUUUGCGCAAUUAAAAAGCAAACAAGCUUCUCCAAACCAACACACAAAAGAUGGCCAUGCAACAAAUUAACUAUCUAUACAUGCACCACUCACACAAUAAGAAAACAAGGAACUACCAUUUUCACACACCAUUAGUAUAUAGUGACUAUGAAUUACUAGCACUGUACGAUCGAUCGAUCGAUCGACGGAAUUACACCUUCGCCAUGGCGUCGAACCUGCGCUGCUUGGCCUGGAACUUCUGCUUCACGUACACGUCCAUGUAGUCUCCGAACGCGAACGUGGGGUAUGCGGCGGCGGCAUUGGUGGCGGGGCCGAUGGUGGCCUCGAGGGCGGGGUUGUAGAAGGAGGCGAUGGAGCGGCGGUUGCCGUCGCGGGUGGCGAGCACGCGGUGCCAGACGCUCUUGUACCGGCCGUUGCUGAUGACCUCGAUCUGGUCGCCGGUGUUGAUGACGAUGGCGUCGGCCAGCGGCUGGACGUCGACCCAGCGGCCGUCUUUGAGGAUCUGCAGGCCGCCGACCUCGUCGUCCUGGAAGAGGAGGAUGACGCCACCGGCGUCAGUGUGGGCGCGCAGGCCCGUGGCGAGGUCGGGGUGGGGGCACGGCGGGUAGUGGCUGACUUUCGUCCCGAAGAACGGCGCGUAGUCGUCGCCGCUGGUGAAUGCGCCCUUCAUUAUAUCCUUCUCCAGGCCUAGGUUCUCUUCCAUGAUCUCCAGCAUCUUCUCCGCCAGCUUUUUCAACUCGCGCCUAUACUCCAUCAUAGUUUCCCUACAAGUUUUUUUUUUUUUUUUUUUUUUUUUUUUUGAGUGAAUAAUUUAUGAGGGACGGUAUAAUUUACUUGAUCCAAAUUAAAAGUAAAAAAAAAAAAAAAAAAAUGUUGUACAUAUGAAUGCACCCCUUGUUGCUUUUCUUUUUCGUUGUUCCCCCACGUAUUUUUCUAAAUUUUGAUCGUUAUAAAUUGAAUUAUUUUGAAUAUUCAAAUUGAGGAUUCGCCAAACUGUAACCGGUUUUCAGAUUGUUUAUAGCUAAUAAGCUAUUAAAAUUUACUGGAACCUUUAAUUCCUAAACUGAUUGGAAUAAUAACUCGAUGGAAAUCAAUUGACUUAAUUAUGAAAAAAAAAGGGUGAUCGAUCGAGGGGGAUUCAGUAAAAACUUAUCAAAUUCCUUCAUAAAAAAUUAAAUUUAAUGACGACAAAAGAAGAAACGAGGAACCGGUGAAUGUUCAGUUAUACUUUAAAUAGCAAUAUUAAUUUGCGAUUUCUUUAUUAAGUUACGUAUGACGGAAUCAUGAUAUAUAUCAAAUUGUAUGAUCAUCUUGCUUUAAUAUUCGCGAUGCCAAUCCCAUCUAAAACAUUUUCAUGCCAAGUGAUUUUUCAAGGGUCGCCGUUUUACAAAUAUCAGGUUAAUAAAUUAAUUGAUUUAUGGGCUCUAGCUAGCAGGUUAGUAAACAAAUUAAUUAACGAUUGUGUACACAUGUUGUUAAACCUCGCACAAUAAUCCAUACUUCUUUUUUUUUUUUUCCAAAAAAUUUAAAAAAAAAACCCCCAUAAAGAUUAAUUAGAAAGUUGCAUUGAGAUAUAUAAGAAAACCAGAUUCAUAACGAUUUAGUGUUCAUUUGUUAAUCUUUGCUUGUGCAAUCACCAGCAAGUGUAGUAAUUAAUAUACUAGGAAAUAUAUCUUAAUUUGAUCAUAUCAUAUGUACGAGAUCAUCUUACUUAAACUCUGGAGGGUUGGAUGGCCACUGAUUAUCAUCUUGGAGAGUGAACACAUCCUCCCAAUCCAUAUCAUCCAACUCGUUAACAGCGAGCCCCUCGCCUUCUCGGUCCACCAUUUCCUUCAGCAUCUGUACAGGCUUCGACUCCUUGAACCCUUCCUCCCUUAACUUGUAGCAUUCGGCGCAAACCUUCUUCACGCGAUCGAGUAGCUCCACCGGGAUCCCAUGGUUCACCAGCUGCAAUGCAACGCACACAGUAUCGCCGAAGAAUAUCAAAACUAGCGAGAAAAGUAAAGCGAUCGAAUUCCAAACAAGUGUGUCAUGCAUGCUACCUGAAAGAAUCCCCACUCUUCGCAUCCGUUAGCGAUCUGGGCCAUGGUUUCGGCGCGCUCCUCGCCUUCCAACUUCGAGAAAUCGAUGACGGGGAUCACCAUCUUUCGAUAAGAUAGAUACGAGAAGGAGAUAUAAAUAAAUUAAGAAGAGAAAAAUGUAAGGGGGGAGGAGGGUUAAUUUGUUGCUAGAGCUUUGGAAGACUCUUCAACUGCAAUUGAAUGACUGCAAAGGGGAGAGGCAAAGGCAUCCUUUUAUAAUAGCACAAACUUGGUGUCAAAUGUUAGUUUAUUCUCACGGGAACUGUAUCUGGAUUAAUCAAAUGAGGCAUCAUUUUGGGCGGUGUACACUGCUCUUAUUUGUUUAUCAUUUGAUCAUAUGUAUAAAUAUAUAUAUAGUUUGAAAUAACAUAAAAGAAUAUGAAGGUCAAUGUAGCAUUGGAGGGAUAUUAAAUGCCCACAGCUCAAGCAUGCCCAUGAGGUGAACAUAUAUUAAUCAAUAUAUUAGUGAUUGAUUUUGCUUGCUUUGACUUAGUAUAAGAGGGUGAUUUGUCACCUUAAUUAGGGCAAUAUUAAUCAAGCUCUCCAAGAUUAAAAGUGCCCUCCAUCUCUCCACAUUGUCUAGAUAAUUUCAUAUUGAAGCAUAAUUGCCACUAAUCUGGCCUAAUCGAAGUAGUUAACUUCACGUUAAGACAUGAAAGCGUUUGCGAAGGGUUUUCGUUAUCUGGUCUGUGAUUCAUGAGACAUGCCCUAUUUGGUUUGCUUCGGUCCGGUUUUUCUUAAAUUGGCAACUAAUUUGCCGAAAGAUCUUCUUAAUUUAGGUUUAGAUCUUUAAUCCUAAGCUAGUUGUGGAAAAGGAACUUCUCUAAACAUGGUUUCUUUUUUUCUUUGUUUUUUACAAAGUGAAAUAUAUUUUCUUUUUGUAUAGGAUGACUGAAUAGUUAUAGAUGGAGACCACAUGAUAUGGACCCCCUGAUCACAUGAAUAAAUUGGACAAACAUAGUUCUCAACAUGUUUUCUCCUCUUUUUUUUUCAAAAAAAAAAAAAAAAAACAUAGUUCUUAUAAUGAUAUGUUUUGUUGCAACAUCUUUUUGAAUCAUAUGUACCAUCCUACAAGUUGCAAUAUUCUAACCCUGCCGACUUAGGAAGCAUAUCUUUGAUGUGAAUCUUGUAAUCUUUCUAAUUCCAAGCUGCACCUGAUUCUGAGUUGUUAGCUGCUGCAAUUCUUAAGUGAGAUUCUCAACAACAACUGGCUAAAAGUUGUACUUCUCAUUACAACAGGACGCAAGGAUAUCUACAUAUGUACAUAUUUGUUUAUAUAAGAAGUCGGUAAAUUGGUAAUUGCAAUAAAAUAACAAACUAGGAUUACAACUCAGUGGGGGUUUUCUUAGAUUAGGGAGAUAAUAUUUAAAUUAAAGUACAAUUAAGGACAGGUUUGUCUAAGACAGCAACAGUUGAUCAAUCAUUAGGGACUCCAAUUCCUAGUUUUGAUGUUGGGAGUUAGUUGGGCAUCUCUAUGCCGACUUCGCGCUCUUUCGGGGGUGGUGUGUGGAGGGGGGUUGACAUUGUUGCAUUAUCCCUUUAACUUUGCUUCUCUCAAUUAAAAACUUGCAUUUUUCUUAAUCUCUGACUUUUUUCACAUGGAAUGUAACAUGCUAAUCGGUAUGAGUUUUGACUCAAGAGGAGAAUAAUAUCCCCUGAUCUCAGCCGCGCACCUUGGCCGAGCUGAGAUAAUCUAAUGGAGGAGGAAGAAGACUUUGGUGGAUUAAACAACACAAUACCAUGACAAUAUCUCCUCUAGACCUUCUAACUUUCUUGUCAUUUUGUCACUAACUUAUUUUUUUAGUUGAAUUGGUAGAAUGGUAAUGCAAUCGCUAAGUAUUAAGGAAUAGAGUAGUUUUUUUGUUUUUAAUCUUCUAAAUAAUACUCUAUUAUUUUAUCAUUCACAAUCGCAAACCAUUUAUUUGUGUGUGCAUUGCAUUAUGGUGCAUAAAUAAAACUUACAGAAUCUCACUUUGUCGCUUCCUUUUAUCAGAAAAAUAGGGGAUGAAUAAUUUGAUGCAAUAUAUUAUGUUUCUCGUCUCGUAUACUAAUCGUGGAUGAAAUAUUCUUGGCAUGCACAAUAUUCGCUUACCGAUUUGGAACAUCAUUCUCAUAUUUCUUUUUUUUUUUUUAACAUUUCAUUGAUGAAUGAAAGAAAAAGCACCCAAGUACAGAAGUUACAAUGAUCUUCACAGCAAACAAAACAAAUCGAUCAGAGUAUAAAACACAGCUCAAUCAAAAGAGGCAAAAGACCACAAGGAAGAUCACAAAUAAAAUAGAAGUUCAUGCAUACGUUAGCGAUGACUUAUGAUAGCUAGCGUUCUAAUUAAGUUGUAACCAUAAUUUAAAGAGGGGAGAAUUUAAUUUAUUCUAUAAUGAUAAUCAUUGAGUUUUGUUUGAGAAAUGCAUGUAGUAAUGGUUUUUGUGACUGCGAUAUUAUAUAUGUUCGAAUGUUUAAGUUCAUAUUAUUAUCUUGUUAUGGAUAAGCAUGAUGUUGAAUCCUUUAUUUGGUCCAGACCCUUAUGUCUAAGAGUUAUGUAUUCGCAUUGUGCGGAUAAAUAAUACAUAGAACAGUAAAACGUCAACAAUUACAUGGUAAAAUACACAUUCAUGCUAUUGCUACGUAAUAUGUUGCUUACCAUAAUGCAGUAGAAUCUCUUGUUACUAGCAAUCAAAAAUUGAUCAAAAAUCUGACAUUUUGAUUGUGCUUUCCUCUGCUGUGCUGUCCUUAGAUGCAUGUUCAGAAGAAAGAAAGAAAGAAGUGUGUUUAUGGAACUUAUAUUUUCAAAUUUAUCAAUGUGUUAUUUGUGCAGAACAGUAGGAAACAUACUACAAAAAAAUAAAAGAAAAAAAAGAAGUUUUGUACCAUGACUUAAAUUUGGGAAUGACCUGUAUUUGCAACUUUGCAUGGCUGCAUACUCAAUAUAGAGAUACAUUAAUUCCACUUGAUUGAAAAGAUACAAUUAAUACCAACUGUCCCUAGAGCAAUUGGCAAAGGGCUUUGUGGUUGGUAUCCGAGACCUAAGUUCGAAUCCUAGUUGAUUCCCAUUUCUAGCUAAGUUUAUUUCUAAAUGAAAUAAACGAAGCGGAUAGCGUGCUACCUAUCUCUCAAAAAAAAAAAAAAAGAAAAGAUACAAUUAACUAGGUAUUUAAUUUCCAGCAUAAAAUAAUGAAUUUAUCAAGUAUGUGAAAGUAACUUACACUGUUAAUUAGUCCCAAAACUCUUACGAAUGUUCACCUUUAACCCAUAUUCAAAAUUUAAAAUAAUUUUUUAUUUUAAUAAAUUUAUAGUUGUGAGAAUUGCAUAAAAUAUACUAACUAAAUCUUUAAAGAUAAAUAAUACAUUCAAGUUUUAAAGUCAAAUUGUCGUUGAUUGAUUCAAAGAAAAUAAAUUGAAAAGUUGGAAAGUAAAAUUAAAAUUUUGAAAGAUUGUAUUCAAAAUAAUUCAUAGUUUAGAUAAAUUCUGUAUUAGUUUUAUCCAAAAAAAUUGGAAAAAAAAAGGUAAAUGGUUUUUCUUGGGUUAGAGACAAAGAAUCCUAAUAUGCAGAAAAGGAAAAACACAAGUGAUUGCAUAAAACAAACAAACUACUCAUGAUUUGGUUGUACAAACUACAAACUCCAUUUUCUUUUCUAAUCCCAGUUGUCAUUCUUUGAUUUUUCUUUUUUUUUUUGAGAGAUAGAUAGCACGCUACUCACUUCGUUUAUUUCAUUUAGAAAUAAACUUAGCUAGAAAUGUGAAUCAACUAGGAUUCGAAUUUGGAAUCUCAGAUACCAACCACCAAACUCUUUACCACUUGCUCUAGAGACAGUUGGUUAUCCCAGUUAAUUGCCAUUCAAAACGCAUAACAAGUUGUUCUGAUGCGCCAGUAAUAUUCAGCCCAUAAUUGUUCAAUAAUUUUCCUAAACAAGAUGUAAUUUAAGAUCUGGAUUGGGAUUGGGGUUGCAACUCUUGAGGAGAAAUAGAGUGAAACAAAUAAAAUUUUUAAAAAAAUAAUAAGAGGAGUUGCCGUGUGAUGACUCAGAACUUUUUUUUUUCUAUUAAAUUAAAUUAGGCUCAAGUAUAUUCAUCCCCCCACGGCCAAGUUUCCAGAGAAGGGUUAUAGUGCAAUGUGUCGGUCCCCCUUUCCCACACUCACCCGUCUCUUCCUCCCACGCACAAACACAUAAUAAUAAUAAUAAUAAUAAUAAUAAUAAGAUUAUUAUUAGUAGGGUGCAUGAAUUUCUUGUUUGGUCCUCAAACUAUAGAAUUGUUACACUCUAAUUUCAUAAUCUAAUUUAGUUAACUAAAUAUUAAUGUAUCAUUGAUAUAAAAAGUAAGGUAAUAUCUUAAUUAUUAGCGCAUCAUUAAAUACAAUAUUGUUAUAUCAUUUGUACGUUAGUAAUACAUCAAUAUUCAGUCAAGUAAACUGGGUUAUAGAAAUUAAUUGCAACAAUUUCAAACUUCAAGCUAAAAAAUAUAGCAAAUUAAAAUUUAAGAACCAAAAUACCAUCUAUCUUAUAGUUUGAGGAAAAAUGCAAUUUACCCUUAUUAUUACGGUGAUCAUCUCACUUUUGAGGUGUAUGCAUGGUGUGGUAGUCCACAUGGGGAGGGCUCUGGAGGUUCAUGGAAUCUACUGUUUCCAAUAUCAUCCUCUUCUACGUCAGUGCUUAUUUAAUUUUUUAAAAGUUUUUUUAACUGUUUUGGGGUCAAAUGGCAAGAGCAAAUAUACUUUUGAAAGGAUGCUGCAGGAGUAGUUUUACGAUUAUUAUAAAGUUUGUUGAUGUGCUGAUAAUGACGUAUAAUAUACGUUGAUUGGUUCAUGAAUGCGCCUACGACGCUCUUUAGCUCAUUAGUGGUCUUUUGGAGGGUCGCAAAAGGGUAUUAGAUAUAAAACUACAAAAGUAUCUUUUUCAUUUAGCUUAAGAUUUUGGAUAAUAAUGAUUAUUUCACAAACCUCUCAAUCCAUCAUGCAUGCGUAUGAAAUUAAGUGGCUGCUAACUAUAUAAGACUAAGUACAAACUAUUAUUCUUUUAUCACAUCAUGACUUUUAGAUAAUGUGAGGUACUGAGUAUAGAUAAUUAAAAUAACAUUCUUUAAUGAGAGAAAAUUACCAUUUUAUAUAUUUUCUUUUGUCAUAUAUAUUAUUUUAUAUGAUAUCAAAAUAAGAUAUCCGGAAUUUGAAUUUUUCCUCAGCCUUGUUUCAUUUAAUUUUCUCUUGAUUGUUUAGAUCCAUGCUUUUAGAUCGUAGUCAAAAUCUGCUAACAUGUGAGAGAAGUAUUGACCAUAAAAAGUUAAAAUACAGUUCUUCACUAAUUUAAACUUUUAUAGAAAUUAGUUGUUUCACAAUUGUUACCUCUGAGUAAUUAUUUUCUAAAGAAAAUAUAUUGGUAUUAGAAAAAUAAUUUGAAGGGAGUGGAACAACAAUUUCGAAGUUGACCUAACACAACUGUAUUUAAGUUAAUCUUAAUAAAGAUUAUUACUAUAUCAAGGUAUGAGUUGAUAUCUGUGACACGUAUCAGGUAAUCUAAAGCCUUUUGUACUAAUUAAAACAGAUAGUUUGACCUCCACCAUUUUAUAAUUAUUUGAUUUUAGCUUCUUGAUUGGUGAACAAUCAAGGUGGCAAAUAUAUUAGCC